rnacentral:rRNA from 1 species
AUGGCCCCAAACAGAGCCCCCGGACCUGAUAAUAUUCCUGUAGAAUUUUAUCAGGUUUGUUGGGAGAUAGUUAAAGAUGAUAUCAUGGACCUUUUUGAUCAUUUUCAUCGAGGAAAGCUUGAUGUUAAGCGCCUCAAUUACGGGAUUAUUACCCUUUUGCCUAAAGUUUCUAGUGUUGAGAGAAUCCAGCAGUUUAGGCCGAUUUGCCUGCUUCGUUACCCUUACAAGCUCAUAACUAAAGUGCUCGACCGAAGGGUUGCUAUUUAUGCAGAUAGGCUAAUCAGCCUCACCCAGAAUGCUUUUGUAAAAGGUAGGAAUAUCAUGGAUGGAGUGCUUUCACUCCAUGAGAUACUCAAUUAUACACAUGUUAAGAAGAGAGUGUGGAUUGUUCUUAAGCUAGAUUUCGAAAAAGCCUAUGACAAAGUAAACUGGGAUUUCCUUCUUGAAUGUCACAAAAUGCGGGGCUUUAAUGAAACCUGGUGUGGAUAGAUUAAACAAAUCCUCUUCGAGGGGACAGUUAGCAUCAAGUUGAAUAACUGUACGGGCCCAUACUUUCAAAGUGCCAAGGGGGUUCGCCAGGGGGAUCCCCAUUCUCCCUUCCUGUUCAAUCUGGCUGUUGAAUGUCUCACCAAAAUGAUUAAAAAU